rnacentral:ribozyme from 12 species
AAAAAAAAAAACUAAAAAAGAAUAUAAAUAAAAUGAAAAAAUAAAAAAGAACUCACUGUCAUUAUGACUAUUUUCCCCUUGACUUU